AGAGUUUGAUCAUGGCUCAGGACGAACGCUGGCGGCGUGCCUAAUACAUGCAAGUCGAACGAACUCUGGUAUUGAUUGGUGCUUGCAUCAUGAUUUACAUUUGAGUGAGUGGCGAACUGGUGAGUAACACGUGGGAAACCUGCCCAUAAGCGGGGGAUAACACCUGGAAACAGAUGCUAAUACCGCAUAACAACUUGGACCGCAUGGUCCGAGCUUGAAAGAUGGCUUCGGCUAUCACUUUUGGAUGGUCCCGCGGCGUAUUAGCUAGAUGGUGGGGUAACGGCUCACCAUGGCAAUGAUACGUAGCCGACCUGAGAGGGUAAUCGGCCACAUUGGGACUGAGACACGGCCCAAACUCCUACGGGAGGCAGCAGUAGGGAAUCUUCCACAAUGGACGAAAGUCUGAUGGAGCAACGCCGCGUGAGUGAAGAAGGGUUUCGGCUCGUAAAACUCUGUUGUUAAAGAAGAACAUAUCUGAGAGUAACUGUUCAGGUAUUGACGGUAUUUAACCAGAAAGCCACGGCUAACUACGUGCCAGCAGCCGCGGUAAUACGUAGGUGGCAAGCGUUGUCCGGAUUUAUUGGGCGUAAAGCGAGCGCAGGCGGUUUUUUAAGUCUGAUGUGAAAGCCUUCGGCUCAACCGAAGAAGUGCAUCGGAAACUGGGAAACUUGAGUGCAGAAGAGGACAGUGGAACUCCAUGUGUAGCGGUGAAAUGCGU
rnacentral:rRNA from 1 species